CCAGUGUGAUUCGUCACACUAUCAUUAACUGAAUCCAUAGGUUAAUGAGGCGAACCGGGGGAACUGAAACAUCUAAGUACCCCGAGGAAAAGAAAUCAACCGAGAUUCCCCCAGUAGCGGCGAGCGAACGGGGAGCAGCCCAGAGCCUGAAUCAGUGUGUGUGUUAGUGGAAGCGUCUGGAAAGGCGCGCGAUACAGGGUGACAGCCCCGUACACAAAAAUGCACAUGCUGUGAGCUCGAUGAGUAGGGCGGGACACGUGGUAUCCUGUCUGAAUAUGGGGGGACCAUCCUCCAAGGCUAAAUACUCCUGACUGACCGAUAGUGAACCAGUACCGUGAGGGAAAGGCGAAAAGAACCCCGGCGAGGGGAGUGAAAAAGAACCUGAAACCGUGUACGUACAAGCAGUGGGAGCACGCUUAGGCGUGUGACUGCGUACCUUUUGUAUAAUGGGUCAGCGACUUAUAUUCUGUAGCAAGGUUAACCGAAUAGGGGAGCCGAAGGGAAACCGAGUCUUAACUGGGCGUUAAGUUGCAGGGUAUAGACCCGAAACCCGGUGAUCUAGCCAUGGGCAGGUUGAAGGUUGGGUAACACUAACUGGAGGACCGAACCGACUAAUGUUGAAAAAUUAGCGGAUGACUUGUGGCUGGGGGUGAAAGGCCAAUCAAACCGGGAGAUAGCUGGUUCUCCCCGAAAGCUAUUUAGGUAGCGCCUCGUGAAUUCAUCUCCGGGGGUAGAGCACUGUUUCGGCAAGGGGGUCAUCCCGACUUACCAACCCGAUGCAAACUGCGAAUACCGGAGAAUGUUAUCACGGGAGACACACGGCGGGUGCUAACGUCCGUCGUGAAGAGGGAAACAACCCAGACCGCCAGCUAAGGUCCCAAAGUCAUGGUUAAGUGGGAAACGAUGUGGGAAGGCCCAGACAGCCAGGAUGUUGGCUUAGAAGCAGCCAUCAUUUAAAGAAAGCGUAAUAGCUCACUGGUCGAGUCGGCCUGCGCGGAAGAUGUAACGGGGCUAAACCAUGCACCGAAGCUGCGGCAGCGACGCUGAUGCGUUGUUGGGUAGGGGAGCGUUCUGUAAGCCUGUGAAGGUGUGCUGUGAGGCAUGCUGGAGGUAUCAGAAGUGCGAAUGCUGACAUAAGUAACGAUAAAGCGGGUGAAAAGCCCGCUCGCCGGAAGACCAAGGGUUCCUGUCCAACGUUAAUCGGGGCAGGGUGAGUCGACCCCUAAGGCGAGGCCGAAAGGCGUAGUCGAUGGGAAACAGGUUAAUAUUCCUGUACUUGGUGUUACUGCGAAGGGGGGACGGAGAAGGCUAUGUUGGCCGGGCGACGGUUGUCCCGGUUUAAGCGUGUAGGCUGGUUUUCCAGGCAAAUCCGGAAAAUCAAGGCUGAGGCGUGAUGACGAGGCACUACGGUGCUGAAGCAACAAAUGCCCUGCUUCCAGGAAAAGCCUCUAAGCAUCAGGUAACAUCAAAUCGUACCCCAAACCGACACAGGUGGUCAGGUAGAGAAUACCAAGGCGCUUGAGAGAACUCGGGUGAAGGAACUAGGCAAAAUGGUGCCGUAACUUCGGGAGAAGGCACGCUGAUAUGUAGGUGAAGUCCCUCGCGGAUGGAGCUGAAAUCAGUCGAAGAUACCAGCUGGCUGCAACUGUUUAUUAAAAACACAGCACUGUGCAAACACGAAAGUGGACGUAUACGGUGUGACGCCUGCCCGGUGCCGGAAGGUUAAUUGAUGGGGUUAGCGCAAGCGAAGCUCUUGAUCGAAGCCCCGGUAAACGGCGGCCGUAACUAUAACGGUCCUAAGGUAGCGAAAUUCCUUGUCGGGUAAGUUCCGACCUGCACGAAUGGCGUAAUGAUGGCCAGGCUGUCUCCACCCGAGACUCAGUGAAAUUGAACUCGCUGUGAAGAUGCAGUGUACCCGCGGCAAGACGGAAAGACCCCGUGAACCUUUACUAUAGCUUGACACUGAACAUUGAGCCUUGAUGUGUAGGAUAGGUGGGAGGCUUUGAAGUGUGGACGCCAGUCUGCAUGGAGCCGACCUUGAAAUACCACCCUUUAAUGUUUGAUGUUCUAACGUGGACCCGUAAUCCGGGUUGCGGACAGUGUCUGGUGGGUAGUUUGACUGGGGCGGUCUCCUCCUAAAGAGUAACGGAGGAGCACGAAGGUUGGCUAAUCCUGGUCGGACAUCAGGAGGUUAGUGCAAUGGCAUAAGCCAGCUUGACUGCGAGCGUGACGGCGCGAGCAGGUGCGAAAGCAGGUCAUAGUGAUCCGGUGGUUCUGAAUGGAAGGGCCAUCGCUCAACGGAUAAAAGGUACUCCGGGGAUAACAGGCUGAUACCGCCCAAGAGUUCAUAUCGACGGCGGUGUUUGGCACCUCGAUGUCGGCUCAUCACAUCCUGGGGCUGAAGUAGGUCCCAAGGGUAUGGCUGUUCGCCAUUUAAAGUGGUACGCGAGCUGGGUUUAGAACGUCGUGAGACAGUUCGGUCCCUAUCUGCCGUGGGCGCUGGAGAACUGAGGGGGGCUGCUCCUAGUACGAGAGGACCGGAGUGGACGCAUCACUGGUGUUCGGGUUGUCAUGCCAAUGGCACUGCCCGGUAGCUAAAUGCGGAAGAGAUAAGUGCUGAAAGCAUCUAAGCACGAAACUUGCCCCGAGAUGAGUUCUCCCUGACUCCUUGAGAGUCCUGAAGGAACGUUGAAGACGACGACGUUGAUAGGCCGGGUGUGUAAGCGCAGCGAUGCGUUGAGCUAACCGGUACUAAUGAACCGUGAGGCUUAACCU
rnacentral:rRNA from 1 species